rnacentral:rRNA from 1 species
GAUGAACGCUGGCGGCGUGCCUAAUACAUGCAAGUCGAGCGAACAGACGAGGAGCUUGCUUCUCUGAUGUUAGCGGCGGACGGGUGAGUAACACGUGGAUAACCUACCUAUAAGACUGGGAUAACUUCGGGAAACCGUAGCUAAUACCGGAUAAUAUUUUGAACCGCAUGGUUCAAAAGUGAAAGACGGUCUUGCUGUCACUUAUAGAUGGAUCCGCGCUGCAUUAGCUAGUUGGUAAGGUAACGGCUUACCAAGGCAACGAUGCAUAGCCGACCUGAGAGGGUGAUCGGCCACACUGGAACUGAGACACGGUCCAGACUCCUACGGGAGGCAGCAGUAGGGAAUCUUCCGCAAUGGGCGAAAGCCUGGCGGAGCAACGCCGCGUGAGUGAUGAAGGUCUUCGGAUCGUAAAACUCUGUUAUUAGGGAAGAACAUAUGUGUAAGUAACUGUGCACAUCUUGACGGUACCUAAUCAGAAAGCCACGGCUAACUACGUG